UACGAAGGUGGCAAGCGUUGUUCGGAUUUACUGGGCGUAAAGGGAGCGUAGGUGGUUAGGUAAGCCCUCCGGGAAAUCUUCAGGCUUAACCUGAAAAGGUCGGGGGGGACUGCCUAGCUAGAGGGCGGGAGAGGAGCGCGGAAUUCCCGGUGUAGCGGUGAAAUGCGUAGAGAUCGGGAGGAAGGCCGGUGGCGAAGGCGGCGCUCUGGACUGACAUUGACGCUGAGGCACGAAAGCGUGGGGAUCAAACAGG
rnacentral:rRNA from 1 species